ensembl:lncRNA
AGAGUAACUCUCCUCUGUAAGGCAGUGAGGUUCAAAAUACAGUUCGAGAACUGUCCCCAUGUCAGGUUCGUAUCAGGGAAGUAGAAAAAUGAUCCACUGACUUGAAAACCUCUGGACGUUGCCAGGAUUCUGCCUUUAUAACAGGCUCACCAAGCAUCUUUUCCUGAGGAGAGAUGUCAACAUAGCGAGCUCUGAGGAUGCAGGAUGGCGACCCAGCUGAUGCAGAAUGGUGACCCAGCUGACCAAGGGGCACUGUCCUCCACCGGCUCACUGUGAUGGCGGGGGGGGGGGGGGGGG